GAUGAACGCUAGCGGCAGGCUUAACACAUGCAAGUCGAGGGGCAGCACGUCUUCGGAUGGUGGCGACCGGCGCACGGGUGCGUAACGCGUAUAGAACCUACCUUUUACAGGGGAAUAGCCCAGAGAAAUUUGGAUUAAUGCCCCAUAGUAUUAUUAGAUGGCAUCAUUUGGUAAUUAAACAUUUAUGGGUAAAAGAUGGCUAUGCGUUCUAUUAGCUAGAUGGUAAGGUAACGGCUUACCAUGGCGACGAUAGAUAGGGGUCCUGAGAGGGAGAUCCCCCACACUGGUACUGAGACACGGACCAGACUCCUACGGGAGGCAGCAGUGAGGAAUAUUGGACAAUGGGCGAGAGCCUGAUCCAGCCAUGCCGCGUGCAGGAAGACGGUCCUAUGGAUUGUAAACUGCUUUUUAUACAGGAAGAAACACUCCCUCGUGAGGGAAUUUGACGGUACUGUAUGAAUAAGCACCGGCUAACUCCGUGCCAGCAGCCG
rnacentral:rRNA from 1 species